rnacentral:rRNA from 1 species
GACGAACGCUGGCGGCGUGCUUAACACAUGCAAGUCGAACGAUGACGACCGAGCUUGCUCGGUCUGAUUAGUGGCGAACGGGUGAGUAACACGUGAGCAACCUGCCCUUCACUCUGGGAUAACCUCGGGAAAUCGGGGCUAAUACCGGAUAUGAGCUCCUGUCGCAUGGCGGGUGUUGGAAAGUUUUUCGGUGAAGGAUGGGCUCGCGGCCUCUCAGUUUGUUGGGGGGGUAGUGGUGCACCAAGGCGAUGACGGGUAGCCGGCCUGAGAGGGCGACCGGCCACACUGGGCCUGAGACACGGCCCAGACUCCUACGGGAGGCAGCAGUGGGGAAUGUUGCACAGUGGGCGAAAGCCUGAUGCAGCGACGCCGCGUGGGGGAUGACGGCCUUCGGGUUGUAAACCACUUUCAGCAGGGAAGAAGCGAAAGUGACGGUACCUGCAGAAGAAGCGCCGGCUAACUACGUG